GGGGUUGUAGCUCAGUGGUAGAGUGCUUGCCUUGCAUACAUGAGGCUCUGGGUUUGAUCCACAGCACCA
rnacentral:tRNA from 1 species